UGGUCCCAUCUCUCUUGCCACCCAGCCCACCCCCCAUCCACGCAGACCAGUUGUGCAGGGCCCAAGGUGGCCCUGAUGAUCCAGGGCCAAGGACUUGGUCCUCUGGGGGACUCCAGACCCACUCAGCCCUAGCAGUGGGCCCAUGGCCUCAUCCUCACCUGAAACUGGGUCUUGAGGCAGCAGCACUUGACUUUAAAGCCUGAGAGGCCCACAGACUCUCAGAGUGCCAGAGAUGGGUGAGCCCUUCCAAGCCAAGGAGUCCAACUCGCUCACCUGCCAUUUUGCAAUUUGGGAAACUGAGGCCCAAAGAGGGGAAGGGGCUUGCGUAACACCCCAGUAGGCUGGUGGCAGAGCAAGGACCAGAAUCCAUGUCUCCCGAUCCUCCUGUCCAGGACUCUCUCCUCUGCAGCAAACACCAUCCGCGGACGUCUAGACUGAUGUCAAUUCCUCCUGGACCUGCAAAUCCUCGGCAGAAGGCUCCUCCAGCCCACCCCUGUCUGUGCUGGGCAUGGUAGGAGGAGCUUUCUCCUCAACUGCGUGCUCCUUUCUCCUAAAGCUUCCUGGUGUCCCCUCCCCAUUGAUCUUGGGCUCAUCUUUUCUUGGUUCCAGCAGCUACUCUGUCAACAGAUCAUAACGGCUGCUACCCGCAUCCUACUGGAGUGGAUCAACCAACUCCCUGUAGUUCCAGCAUCCCCAGGGGUGAGGGGUCAUGAUUCUCCCUGCUCUUCGGUGGUCCCUUGGUUGCUCCUAGGGCUUUUCUUCUGUCACUGGCCUAGUCCCAGGCCCACUGCCCUUCCAUGGUGCCCCAGCCUUUAAUCCCAUCAGUCUCUCCCAGGACCUCAUGGGUCAUCCCCUACAGACCCCUCUCGGCUGGGCCCAGGGCCAGGGGAAAUAACAGUAACCCAGGUGUCAUUGGGUUGCGGGAGGAGUGAGCGAGUUAAGGCAUGAUUAGGUAUAUAAGGCACAGGUGAGUGUUGCACCCGUAAACUCUCAUGUUACAAGGUGCAUUAGGUGAUAACAAGGAGACCCUUGAACCUGGAGCCUACGGUGGCCUAGGCACCUGGGGGUAGAAGGGGCAAGAGGGCCAGGGGGACCCUUGGUACUGGGGAGUGAUGGGAGUCACGAGCGUUUUCAGCUGGGGAAGCACACGGUCAGGUUGGCUUCUAGAAAAAUGGCAGGAGGAGCUUGGUCACCGAGCACCUAAAGGGCACACUGGCCUCUGUCCCCAGCCUUGCUGGGCAGUGCAGGCCUGUGCUGCCUCCUGAACCAGCCCAUGCUACCUCUUCAGAGCCUUGUCCAAAGUCACAUCUUCAUAAGGUUAAAAUAACAGUGACUAACAUUCCAUCAUUCAACAUUUGGUGUGCACCUUUUGUGUGCCAGGCAUUGUUCCAAGGGCUUUAAUGAUUUAACUCAUUUAAUUUUCUCAUCAGUCUUUGAUGUAGGUGCUGCUAUUCUCCUCACAUCCCUAUUUGACAGAUAGGUAAACUGAGGCACAUGAGGUUAGCUCACUUGCCCAAUGAGAUGGAGCCAGGACUCUACAUGGGCUUCACAACCUAGAGCCUUCCUCCUGGCCUCUACCCUCUCCUGCCCUCUGAGCCUUAGGCUCCCUCCUACCCACCUGCCUUUCUGCAAAGAACUUACUGGCCUUCUGCACUGAUCCCUCUGCUCAAGACUGAGCCACUUUAUCUCAGUCCUGCCACAGGAGCCAAACCUCCUGGUCAAAGUGGGAAUUAGCUGCACUUAACAGCAGCUGCCACUCUGCACCUUCACACCAUGCAUCUGUUAACAUGGCCUCAGGCUUCCAUGGCUUCUUCUGUGGCUACAUGUCCCUGUGUUGUCUCAUUCACAAUGCUAACUCUGCUCACCCUACCCUACCCACUCAGCACAGCCUAACCUAAUCAGCCAGUCACUUGACACCCGGCAACUCAGCUCAAUCACACCUCCUCCGGGAAGCCAUCCUGGACUCCCAGGCUCAUCCCUCAUUUUGCUCUCCCCAAACACCCUGUAUACCUCCCUCACAGCAGUCGCUGGCUUGAACGAGUUCUCACCAGCCUGGAUGCUCCAUGAGGUUAAGAUCAAGCCUGUAUUUCUAAACCACUGCAGCACCAGUGCCUGACACAGAGGCUGGCACAAACUCAGCCCUCAGAUGGGUGUGCAUGAAUGGAUGACAUACCUGAAGUCCAGGCCUUAUGCUAGAUGCUGAGAUUAUGGAGACCAGAUGUAGAUGCUGGUGGGAAAGACAGACAAGUAAACAGCUGGUGACAAUGCAGGAUGAGAAUUGCACUGAUGAAGAAGCACAGGGGGUGUGGGACAGGGGUGGGGGCAUAGAGGAGGAGCCCUGGACCCAAACGGAAGACCAGAGGGACAAGGAGUUCACCAACUGGAGAGCAGUGGUGGAGAGGACCCUGAAACGGGGCCGAGCUAAUGAAUGAAUGUGCAGAGGGUCCGGCUCCUCCCCAGACCUCCAGCCCCUUGAGGGCAAAAGGCAGGUGUCCUGCAUUCUUGUCUCCCCCCAUGGUGCUUAGAGUAGGGUUGGGUCCCUGCUCUGCAUUCAGAGAGUGGUUUUAGUUGAUGGAUUUUUCCUUCCCUCCUUGGAUGAUGGCGAGGCUGGUCUGACACGCUUCUCUCUGGGUUGCUUAUCUUCUCUUCUCUCAGCCCUGCCUUCAGGCCCUUGACCAGAAAAGCUGCAUCUUUUCCCACCUGAACUACACCCUCCCCCUCCCACCCUCUCCAUGGUUCUGUGCCUCUCACCUCCUCUGCUCAGCCCACUCACCUGGCUCUGACCGUCUCAAUGUGUGGGUGCCAGCGUGUACCCUCUUCACAUGAGAUUUGUUGAUUUCGUAACCAUAAAUAGAUGAAACGAUGUUCUGAAUACUUCCCUGUGCAAGUAGAAUUGGGGGAGUGAUAACAUAAUGAAAAGUCCUUAAGAGAAGGAAAACAGCCUGCUAAGAUGCAGCCUUUGCACCAACCAACUCUACAUGAGGAUUAUAUUUUCACUGUAGAUGGUGGACCCAAGACCCAGGACUGGGGAAGAGGGGGUUACAUGGGAAUCUGUUAGAAAACCUUUACAUGAAGAGGCAUGAGGGGAGUUCCCAUUGUGGCUCAGUGGAAAUGAAUCUGACUAGUAUCCAUGAGGAUGCAGGUUCGAUCCCUGGCCUCGAUCAGUGGGUUAAGGAUCCAGCAUUGCUGUGAGCUGUAGUGUAGGUCACAGAUGCAGCUCAGAUCUGGUGUUGCUGUGGCUGUGGUGUAGGCUGGUGGCUACAGCUCCGAUUCAACCCCUAGCCUGGGAACCUCCAUAUGCCAUGGGUC
rnacentral:lncRNA from 1 species